UAUACCGGUUCUCGUUAGAUCACCGAAGUCAAGCAUCAUUGGGCGCGGUUACUUGGGUGGGUGACCACCUGGGAGCACCGCGUGCCGUU